rnacentral:rRNA from 1 species
UACGAAGGGGGCUAGCGUUGUUCGGAAUCACUGGGCGUAAAGGGCGCGUAGGCGGCUUUAUAAGUCGGGGGUGAAAGCCUGUGGCUCAACCACAGAAUUGCCUUCGAUACUGUAGAGCUUGAGACCGGAAGAGGUAAGUGGAACUGCGAGUGUAGAGGUGAAAUUCGUAGAUAUUCGCAAGAACACCAGUGGCGAAGGCGGCUUGCUGGUCCGGUUCUGACGCUGAGGCGCGAAAGCGUGGGGAGCAAACAGG